rnacentral:rRNA from 1 species
AGUGAACGCUGGCGGUAGGCCUAACACAUGCAAGUCGAACGGCAGCACAGUAAGAGCUUGCUCUUACGGGUGGCGAGUGGCGGACGGGUGAGGAAUACAUCGGACUCUACUUUUUCGUGGGGGAUAACGUAGGGAAACUUACGCUAAUACCGCAUACGACCUACGGGUGAAAGCAGGGGAUCUUCUGACCUUGCGCGAUUGAAUGAGCCGAUGUCGGAUUAGCUAGUUGGCUGGGUAAAGGCCCACCAAGGCGACGAUCCGUAGCUGGUCUGAGAGGAUGAUCAGCCGCACUGGAACUGAGACACGGUCCGGACUCCUACGGGAGGCAGCAGUGGGGAAUAUUGGACAAUGGGCGCAAGCCUGAUCCAGCCAUAGCGCGUGGGUGAAGAAGGGCUUCGGGUAGGAAAGCCCUUUUGUUGGGAAAGAAAAGCAGCAGGUUAAUACCCCGCUGUUCUGACGGUACCCAAAGAAUAAGCACCGGCUAACUUCGUG